CGGCCGGGAUGGCUGCAGCGGCGGCCGGGGCCGGGAGCGGGCCCUGGGCGGCCCAGGAGAAGCAGUUCCCGCCGGCGCUGCUGAGUUUCUUCAUCUACAACCCGCGCUUCGGGCCGCGCGAAGGAGAGGAGGAAAAUAAGAUUUUAUUUUAUCAUCCAAAUGAGGUAGAAAAGAAUGAGAAGAUUAGAAAUGUCGGAUUGUGUGAAGCUAUUGUACAGUUUACAAGGACAUUUAGCCCAUCAAAACCUGCAAAAUCUUUACAUACACAGAAGAACAGACAGUUCUUCAAUGAACCAGAAGAAAAUUUCUGGAUGGUCAUGGUUGUUCGGAAUCCUAUAAUUGAAAAACAGUAAAGAUGGAAAACCAGUUCUUGAAUAUCAAGAGGAGGAGUUGUUGGUAAUGUGUCAUUGUUUAUUUAUUUAUUUAAAUGUAUUGCUGAGUAUGUUGAAUGCCUUCCUUGGUCGGAUUUAAACUAGGAGGCUUUUGCGGAAGUUUCUCGGGGUAUAUAGCAAAGGUUUAUGUUUAUCAUUUACAUGAGCACAAUCUUUUUAAAAUGUAUAUGCACCCUAUCUCACUAAUACCUUCUACUCUUCAUCUAUAUUGAAAGCCCUCCUAAAGUAA
rnacentral:sRNA from 1 species